rfam:Mesocricetus auratus contig042463, whole genome shotgun sequence.
GAAAAGGAGUUUUUGAACUCCACUUCCAAUUUCAAACCAAGUAUGG